GAGGGGUGACGAGCUGAUAUUUGGAAGACUUAUUAUAUCAAAUUGUAUGUUUCUGUGGUUUUCAUUAAGAUCUUUGACAUACGAUUAUUAUUAAUAUUAGAAUUAUUCACAGAACAGGGGCCUAUAUAGUAUAACUGCUGGAUUGUGUGGGGUCCCCUGGGCAGUGGGAGCCCCCGUAAUUGUCACCACCUUUCACCCCACUAGCAACGACCCUGUCCGCAUCCAUACCAUUUAUAAAGUGCUUUAAUAUGGCGAAGCUGCUGUGGUGCAGGUGGCGUCUUCUGCAGCGUGCUGCUGGGGUUUUGGGCAAUGUCGGGGUCCUCACCCAGGGUCUGUAUAUGUUGCUGGCACUCCAUACUGUGUGUGGUGACCUUAUGACUUCUCUGAAGAAGCUGUGGAAGAUGUGUAACCUUAGUGAGGAUGUCGCAGGAGCCACCCUCAUGGCUGCAGGAACAUCAGCACCUGAAAUCUUUAUAUCCACUAUAAGUGAGUUCUUCACUCAGGCGGAUGUUGGUGUAAAGACCAUCAUUGGAUCAGGACUCUUCAACAUCCUCUUCAUCACUGGACUGUGUGGGAUUGCUGCUGGACACGUGUGGGAAAGUUUGCUGUUGGUGGUCAUGUAUGUGGGAUACAUUUUGAUCACGAUAUUUAACUCCCACAUACAGACUUUUUUCAGGAUCGAACCAUCAAGUGGACACGAGCGAGAGAACGACAAUGACAUUCAGCUGAGGGGGUGGAGGAAGAGAGCAACACUGGGGAUGCGGACUUGUCCACGGACGAUCCGGGUGAGGGGACAAGCAAGGACCAGUCAAAGGAGUCCACGGACGAUGGAGCGCCGACCUCACCGUUCUCUAUACCAAUGGGGGGGCGUGUGGACUGACACUGGAAUUCUACGGAGUGUUUCGGAUCGGUUCUUCUGUCACAAGGAUCUUAACCAAACAUAGAAAGAGCAAGUCAGGACGACAGAAACCCACAGAUGGAGAACACAACCCCGCCGUCGGCUGUCGACCCACUGUCGCAGUGUCCCUGAUGGCUCUAAUUUUGUUUCUUGUGAGGAUUCCAGCAAUCUCCUCCAGUUUGUGAAGUCCAUCACCACAAAGGGUCUGAAUGUACAGGCCUACAUAAAGAGGGCAGAGCUGCUGAGUGGAAUAUUCAAAGCUGUCUAAUUGAAGUCUGGUGCUCUCCAAAUCAGUGCACAGUGCCACAUCUCCACAAAACGUGUGUGUGUUUCCUUCACAAAACAGUGUUCCUCACAGUACUGUGCCCUCAGCACACAAGUCACAAGGGAAAUUCCAUUUGUUUGUACUUCUGUUGCUGUACUUUAGGCUUCUGGCAUGGGUCAUCUUCAGACCGCAGUGGAAGAAGGCCUUAACCUCCCGGAGUCCCCCCGUCUCAGGCCAAUCCAAAGUCCAUCACAGUGUCCCUCUGCAUUUAAGACAGAUAGCUCAGGAAAAGUGCUCUGUGCAGGGAAAGUUUCUCACAGUUACAGAUGGGGAGAGCUUCUGUGGAUUGUCACUGACCUGGGAAACAACGCCACAGAAUUUCCUUUGUGUGAAUUUCCCUCCAUUAUGAUGCUGUAAGGACAGAGAUUUACUUUAAGGGCAGUCAUUGCUUUCAGAGCAGGUUUAACCCAGGAUGCUCUUGGACAUUAUGUGGCCUAUUGCAGGAGGUCUCCAUGUGUCUGGGAGAUGUAUGACGACCUGAGAAGUGCAGUGACAGGAGCGUCAGAAAACGACAAAAUGCCACAUACAUCAUUGAAAUUCAAUUUAUUUUUAUAAAGUUUUUUUUGUAUUCCACACACCAUUAUUUUCCUACUCCUGUUUGGAGAAGUAUCUGCAUUUCUGGAAGUUGGUUUUGAUGUUUUUACUAAAGUCUGUGUGGUAUUUUUGCCUUGUCAGUAUUGAGUGUUUUUAAGUUUAAGUUUUUAAAAGUCCAUUUUUUUGUUACUGGAUUUUUGAUUCAAUUUCAAAAGUAAAAUAAUUUUGGCUUAA